AGUUACCAAGAUUCUGAUUUUGUAUAAAAAUAGUGUAACAAAAACAAAGUAAUGUAACGACAAAUAUUAUUGUGCACGAAAUUAUAUAGCACACCCCUUGUUCUAAUAUGUAUUUAUGAUAUGCAUUUUAUUUUACUUUUUGUACAUGUUUAGACACUGUCCCAACUUAAUUCUUCUUUUUUUUGUUUUUUUUUAGGUGAAGUGUUGUCGCCGCUGCCAACUAAAUGACCCCAUGAAGACGGGGACACCAGUGUUACAUUCUAUUAAGGUGAAGGCUGCAUGGGAGGUGAUUGGCCUGGAUUUAAUUGGCCCACUGCGAGAAACUGGUCAAAAAAACAAGUAUGUGUUGACCAUGACUGAUUUAUAUACAAAGUGGGUUGUUGCUGAGCCACUGCAAAAUAAGACUGCAACUGAAGUGUCAGCAGCCAUCAUAAAGACACUCUUACUUGUUCGGCAUGGUCAAGAAAAUUAUUACUGACCAAGGGAGAGAGUUUGUUAAUGAGCUGAAUGAAAACAUCUUUGCAACUCUGAAAAUCAAACAUGCUGUCUCAAGUGCCUACCACCCUUAGACAAAUGGGCAGGUAAUUUUCAACAUAAUUUUAUUUGACAUUUCCCUGUAAUGUUAAAAAAAAAUAGGAAAUGUUUUAAUUGUUGUUGUUUUUUAUAUAUAUAUAGGAUGAGCGAACAAAUCAAAAUGUCAAACGUUUAUUGCGGAAGUAUGUAAAUGAAAGCCAUAAUGAUUGGGACAUCCAUUUACCUGCAGUUGUGUAUGGUAUUAACACUGCUAAGCAAGUGGGUAUUCAUUAUACAUUCAUUAUGGUCGAUAUAUAAUGUAAUCGAUAUAUAAUGUUUUAUUUCUGAUAACUUAAUUUGUUUUUAACCAGUCUUCAACCAGGCACACCCCGUAUUUCUUAUUCUUCCAUCGGCACCCUCAUUUGCCAAAGGUUAUGAACGCCUGUCCCAUGGGAGAAGACUUUAAAAUUGCUGACCCAGAAGAUGAUCUUGACACCCGAGUAAAUGAAAUGAAAAUUUUAAAUGAGAAGGUUAGGUCCAAAUUCAUGUAGUCUGACCACAGAAGUUUUUUUUAAUUCAAUGGCAUGUAGUAAAGUGUAAUUUUUUUUUUUUUCAGGUGCUUAGCAACAUUGAAAAUGCGCAGAAAAGACAACAAAAGUCUUACAGGAACCGUAAGAGAAAGCUAAUGAGCACAAUCAGUCCUGGCGAUGAGGUCUUGAUUUCUCAAGAUUUCAAUAUAAAACAGAGAAAAGACACCCUUGCUGACCGCCACAAAGGUCCUUUCACUGUGGAUAGUAUCUCUAAAAAGGGUGUGGCAUCAGUGGUGAAAGAUAAUGGGACUCGAUGUUGCAUCAAUGUCUCACGGCUAAGGCCUUUCUACAGGUUGGAAAAUCAUGGAGCAGUUCCAUGUGUGUCACUUCAGGACCAUGAGUAUGGUACACCUGAUGAAGCAACAGACCAUCCUUAUGCUUUUUCUGGAGAGAAAUGGGAAAAAGACUUGGGUCCUCUCCAGGAAAAACUGGUAGGGGAUGAUUCCACCUAGCCCAUUCCAAAUUUCACUCUCCUUCACACACUGUUAGACACUACCAAUAAUUUUUUUGCAAUCGUAUAUUCAGACCAUCUCUCACAUACUUACACUCUCACACCAUUCUCACCCCCCCCUCCCUUGCUAACUCUUUUAAUUGCAGUUGAAAUAUGUCCUGGACAAAAGCCUUCCAGCAGCAGAAUUGAUUGUUAAAGAUGACAAUAUCUGUCUUACACGUGAGGACUUGUGGAGUCUUGGGUUAAAUCAGUGCAUGGAGUCUACUGUAAGUAUAUUCAUGUUGCAGCAUGCUUGCUCAAAGGCACAGAAAUAGUUUUUUUUGUGUGUAAUUUAUGCCUUUAUUUUGUUUUAUUACGUCUAGAUUGGGAAUGCAUGUUUUAAGAUCAUCAGAGAAGCUGCUCAAAAACAUGUAAUUAAUUACAGAAGCUCAAACAUUGUUAUUUUGUAUACUUCUUCAUGGGUACUUGUAUACAUUUGCUAAUCUUGUUGUGUUGUAAAUAGGGGAAAGAUGUUUACAUUGCUGACAUGUAUGUGGUUCCCACAUGGAAAACGAUGAAUGUGGACCCACUCUCAAGUUUACCGGUAAAGUGAAGUUAAACACACACAGACAGACAGUUGCACAUUAAUGCAAUGAUUUCUGUACAAUGCACAGUAGUUGAAUGGUUGCAUUUUCUUUCUCUACACCAGAACAAUCUGUGUUCCAAGGAUGCGAUUUUGUUCCCUGCAUGGAGUAUGCAACAGAAUCAACUGGAUCACUAUUUGCUAUGUGUUGAGUUACAGUUUCAAAAAAUAGAUAUUCAGAUUUUUAGAAUGAAGUUUGUUGAUUAGCUUAUCAUUUUGAAAUAUGUCCAUUGCAGGUUUUACUGGUUGUGGAGAGAGAGAUCAUUUUUCUAGAUUCUGUACUCCCUGGUGGUUUUGGAGAUGACUCGUACAAAACGAUAUUUAGGUUAAGAGAGAGGAAAAAGUUGCCCUUGUUCAGUGGCUUUUACCAAUAAUAUUUUACGCAAGAGCCAUGUUCUGUGGCUGCUGAUUUACACAAAAGCCUUGUUCUAUGGCUGAUGAUUUACAAAAAGCCUUGUUCUAUGGCUGAAAAUUAACAAAAAGCCUUGUUCUAUGGCUGAUGAUUUACAAAAAGCCUUGUUCUAUGGCUGAAAAUGAACAAAAAGCCUUGUUCUAUGGCAAAUGAUUUACAAAAAGCCUUGUUCUAUGGCUGCUUAUUUAUAGCUUUGUUCUUUUGUUUUAUGUUUACGCAGUAGCCUUGUUCGAUGGCUGUAGGAUUAGGUCUCAUUUUAUGAAACUAGACCAUGGAGAACAAUUGUAUGACUAUAGGUUUCAGUAAGUGUGUGUCCAUAAUUAAUUUUUUUUCCCAUUUUAUGUGCAGACAUAUUGCAGGCCAGAUUGACCCAAGACCCUGGACAGAGAAGACCGGCAGAAGUUUUGAUCACUUCCCUCAACAAACUUCUGGGAACUACUGUGGCAUCCUUAUACUCAUUUAUGCCCUCUGUAUCUGCACCAAUACCCCAUUUAUCUUCACAGAAUGAUGUGCCAUUAAUCCGCCAGUGGUGGUGCAUCCUACUGAUGGAAAGAUUUCAGAUUGAAGGACAUGGCCAGAGGUUUGCUUUCUGGACUGACAAGGCUAGCAGGCUAUUGCAAGGGACCCUUCAGCCACUUUUUAGGGUAUCUAGGUCAAUCACUUCAGACAUUCCACCUCAUGUGCAAACCAUGGUCAACCGCACAGCCCAAGAAAAGAAGCUGGUAGACUUUGCUGUACAAGACCAUGGAGUCCGGCAACAUUUGUUGGGUGUACUCUGUGGAAAAGAGCCUUCGAAGUGGCUCAGCAGAAUCCAGAAGGGAUCAUCUCUACGGGUGCCAGUGUACCUGGACUCGGAGGAAGAACAGGACUCCCUAUUUUUCUAUCUUCAGGAUGUCCUGAAAUCUGCACCAGUAGAAUUCCACAUUGAGGAUCAAGUGCAGUUCAUUUUGGAUGUUUUGUUCCCAGAGGUAAGGUUACUAGGUAUGCAGUAAAUAUCUAUUAACAAUGUUAAAUAGCCUGUUGUGACUUAAGUUACAUAAAAUUUUUAAUCAAAUGUAUCUUUUUUUAAAAUCCAAUAGAGUAGUACUGUGAGACCAUGAUAACCACAAUACAUUUUCUCAGACAGUUAUUGGGUCAUUUUCAGCAGUGACACUAACGCUAAUGCUGGAGUUUUUAAACACCUCAGUUUCACUUGCUU